CCUACGGGAGGCAGCAGUGAGGAAUAUUGGUCAAUGGGCGAGAGCCUGAACCAGCCAAGUCGCGUGAGGGAGUACUGCCCUAUGGGUUGUAAACCUCUUUUGUCGGGGAGCAAAAGCCGGACGUGUCCGGCUGUUAGAGUACCCGAAGAAAAAGCAUCGGCUAACUCCGGGCCAGCAGCCGCGGGCAUACGGAGGAAGCGAGCUUUAACCGGAUUUAGUGGGUUUAAAGGGUGCGCAGGCGGAUUUUUAAGUCAGCGGUAAAAUCGUGGGGCUCAACCCCAUCCCGCCGUUGAAACUGGGGAUCUAGAGUGUGCGAGAGGUAUGCGGAAUGCGUGGUGUAGCGGUGAAAUGCAUAGAUAUCACGCAGAACCCCGAUUGCGAAGGCAGCAUACCGGUGCACAACUGACGCUCAGGCACGAAAGCGUGGGUAUCGAACAGGAUUAGAUACCCCAGUAGUC
rnacentral:rRNA from 1 species